UACGUAGGGUGCGAGCGUUAAUCGGAAUUACUGGGCGUAAAGCGUGCGCAGGCGGUUUUGUAAGCCAGAUGUGAAAUCCCCGGGCUUAACCUGGGAAUGGCAUUUGGGGACUGCAAGGCUUGAGUGCGGCAGAGGAGACUGGAAUUCCCGGUGUAGCAGUGAAAUGCGUAGAUAUCGGGAGGAAUACCGAUGGCGAAGGCAGGUCUCUGGGCUGACACUACGCUCAUGCACGAAAGCGUGGGGAGCAAACAGG
rnacentral:rRNA from 1 species